AGUGGAUACAUCAAAGCCUAAAGGCUACAACCAAUCCCAACAAAAGGAACUUAGCUAUCCAUUUUCAUGGAUGCUUAAAGGCUUACAAGAAGAAACUAGGAAGAGAUGACGAUCUCGUGCCGACGUCGGCGUGUCUCCAGUUCGGCGGACGACGCAAGGACCUUAGACUUCCUUCUCCUCUUCUUUCCUGCGUGUUUUCUAUAUUUGGGUUGUGUUCUUUCUGUUA
rnacentral:lncRNA from 1 species